ACAGAGAGAGGAACCUGUACCCAGUGGAACGUUGUAACUCUGUCCCUAAACCCCUCACAGUGGAUACCUGCAAUACACAGCCCUGCUACAGCCCACAGGUUGUCCCCAGUAUGCAGGAUCCCAGAGGACAAGACAACACACAGCACGGCGUCCCAGAUCACGCUACAGUCCUCAGACCAGACUCUGCUGACCACCAGACCAACACAGUGUACCAUGGUCACAGCUCC